rnacentral:rRNA from 1 species
GUUCUGUAAGCCUGCGAAGGUGUACUGUGAGGUAUGCUGGAGGUAUCAGAAGUGCGAAUGCUGACAUAAGUAACGAUAAUGCGGGUGAAAAACCCGCACGCCGGAAGACCAAGGGUUCCUGUCCAACGUUAAUCGGGGCAGGGUGAGUCGACCCCUAAGGCGAGGCUGAAAAGCGUAGUCGAUGGGAAACGGGUUAAUAUUCCCGUACUGGUGGUAACUGCGAUGGGGGAACGGAGAAGGCUAGGUUGUCCGGGCGACGGUCGUCCCGGUUCAAGCAGGUAGGCAGAGUGAUUAGGCAAAUCCGGUCACUUAAUGCUGAGAUGUGAUGACGAACCACCAAGGUGGUGAAGCAAUUGAUGCCCCGCUUCCAGGAAAAGCCUCUAAGCUUCAGGUUACCAACAAUCGUACCCCAAACCGACACAGGUGGUCAGGUAGAGAAUACUCA